rnacentral:lncRNA from 1 species
GGCCCAGAUCGCAGGGCCAUAGAUCACCACAUUGCGAUCCCUUUGCAGGACCAAUAUAUAGUUGCCUUGGUCCCUCGAGGUGUUGGAGGCCCACAGAGCGUUGCCGUUGCUGUAGAUCACAAGGUUGCCGUCCGCCUGCAUCUUGAGGAUGCAGUUGUAGCCACGGUUGUCCGUGCCGGAGGACCACACGGCAUUACCGGAGUCGUAGAGGACCAGGUUGCAGUCUGACUGUAUAGUGAAUCUGUAGGACCCGUACGUCAGCGACUGCCCCGUGUAGAGCGUCUCGUCGGUGUAGAGAAUGUUGUCGGCAGUGCAAGACGGUAUGAGAAGGCCGAAGAUGGCCGGCAGGAGGAGGAGGAGGAGGGCGGAGGUGGAAGUGGAAAUCGCCAUUGUAGAUGUGGUAUGUGGUGGCUCUUUGGAUCAGCUGGUGAUGAAGAGCCAAUAACAGCCCCUCCAUUUAUAGAUGCGAGCCCGUAGUGAAAUGGUGAGAGUGAUGCAGAGACCGGUGGUCGUAGAACAGCGAUGCAUGUGACAGAGGUCGCAUGGAGAUGGGAUGAAGGUUGUACGGAUUCGAGCAAAUCGACAAACCUUAUCCGUGAACGUGGUGGCAGCAGGAAGGUCGGCCUCUCGUUUGAUGCACGAGGAAGGCGAGGGAAUAAGAUAAUGUUUUGAAGUCUUCAAAAUUAUAUGGAUUGGUAUCGUGGACGGCCUCCCGUUUGAGGCACGAGGACGGCAAGGGUAUAAGAUAAUGUUGGGUGGUCUUAUUUUUUUAUUUUAAGUUUUCAAAACUUUAUUAAUUUCUAUGGUUUAUUUAUUUAUUUAUUUAGACUUUUAUUAUUAUCAUUUACAACAAUCGUUUUAGUUUUUUUUUUCUGCAAAAUUAGACAAUGAUAUAAUUAAUAAUGUUUUCGAAACCUCUUAACUUUUUUGUUUUUUGUUUUGGAGAUGUGAUGGUAUUCCAACUCAUCAAUCUUAAUUUUUUUGAUAUUUAAACAUGAGCAAUAACUACAUUAUCAUAGAUGUUAUUACAAUCAUAAACAAAAGCUUAUUGUUCUUGACUAAUCAAGUGAUUAAGAAGAGGUUUAAUUCGAUUAGCUAGAGUUUUUGCGAGGAGGGGGGGGGGGA